AGAGUGAACGCUGGCGGUAGGCCUAACACAUGCAAGUCGAACGGCAGCACAGUGGUAGCAAUACCAUGGGUGGCGAGUGGCGGACGGGUGAGGAAUACAUCGGAAUCUACCUUUUGGUGGGGGAUAACGUAGGGAAACUUACGCUAAUACCGCAUACGCCCUUCGGGGGAAAGCCGGGGACCUUCGGGCCUGGCGCUGAUAGAUGAGCCGAUGUCGGAUUAGCUAGUUGGUGAGGUAAUGGCUCACCAAGGCGACGAUCCGUAGCUGGUCUGAGAGGAUGAUCAGCCACACUGGAACUGAGACACGGUCCAGACUCCUACGGGAGCAGCAGUGGGGAAUAUUGGACAAUGGGCGCAAGCCUGAUCCAGCCAUACCGCGUGGGUGAAGAAGGCCUUCGGGUUGUAAAGCCCUUUGUU
rnacentral:rRNA from 1 species